CUGGUUUGAAGUCUGAAAUUCGAAGUCACUACCCCGCUUUCAUACUAAGGGAGGACGGCCGGGACAGGCUGCCACCCAAGGCGGGCCAGGGAGGACGGUCCGCCAGGGAGGACGGUCCGCCAGGGAGGACGGUCCGCCAGGGAGGACGGUCCGCCAGGGAGGAUGGCCCGCCAAGGAAGAUGGCCCACCAAGGAAGAUGGCCCGCCAGGGAGGACUGCCCGCCAAGCAGGACUGCCCGCCAGAGGGGACUGCCCGCCAGAGAGGACUGCCCGCCAGGGAGGACUGCCCGCCAGGGAGGACUGCCCGCCAGGGAGGACUGCCCGCCAGGGAGGACUGCCCGCCAGGGAGGACUGCCCGCCAGGGAGGACUGCCCGCCAGGGAGGACUGCCCGCCAGGGAGGACUGCCCGCCAGGGAGGACGGUCCGCCAGGGAGGACGGUCCGCCAGGGAGGAUGGUCCACCAGGGAGGAUGGUCCACCAGGGAGGAUGGCCCACCAGGGAGGACUGCCUGCCAGGGAGGACGGCCCACCAAGGAGGAUGGCCCGCCAGGGAGGACUGCCCGCCAAGGAGGACUGCCCGCCUGGGAGGAUGGUCCACCAGGGAGGAUGGCCCACCAAGGAGGAUGGCCCACCAAGGAGGAUGGCCCGCCAGGGAGGACUGCCCGCCAAGGAGGACUGCCCGCCAGGGAGGACGGUCCGCCAGGGAGGA
rnacentral:lncRNA from 1 species